rnacentral:lncRNA from 10 species
UGCAUACAUAGAAACCACUUCAGAAACCAGCUGCAUAAAUCGCAUGCGACUCACAUAUUCUUUUACCUAAGAUCCAUAGAGCACUUGCUAUAGCAAAUGCAGAAAUAAUACAAGUGAGAAAAGGUAUAAAGACUUCAUAAUAUGUGGAUAGAUUUUGUUUGACGGACUGUCUCAGACUAAAUGAGUCAUAUUUUCUCAUCUCCAGAUAUACUUGAUUACUUGGAAAAUCACAAACCAAAAUACAAGACAGUUGAUUGAAACUUAAGUUGGUGACACUGACCAAAAGAAAAUGCAUUUGUCUUCCACCUUGAGGAUCAUGACCGAGUCUUAUUGCCUAAAAGGGACACAGAGAGCAGACUCAUCAGAAGGGUUUUUAAACUGAGAGUCACAUCAGGUUUGUCAACAGCCUCAGAAAAUAAUGCAGUUAUAAGAAGCAUUACAACGGCAAGCUAAAUGAUAAAAUAGGGGAAACGUGCUCAGCACAAUGGGAUAGAAUAUAAAUAACUCUGUUACCAAACAACCAGAAAAGGGCUAGUAAUAUUUGCUAAUAAUGAAUGUCUUAAGAUCUCUGGUCAAGCACAUGCUUAAAAUGAGGGCUGGUCAGGUCAGCAUCUUGGUUGGUGGCUUGAUUAGACUCUAAUUCAGAUAAUAAAUAGCAGUUCUGACUUGGAAAGCAAAUGCUUCCAAGAAUUGAAAGGGCUAGGAAGUAGUCCUAGAGUGAUUGAUUGAUUCAUCCAUUUAUCCAUCUGUCUGCUUAUCCAUCUAUCAACCUAUCCAACCAUUCAUUCAUUCAAUUAUUCACUUCUUAAACAUUAUCUGAACAUAUAUAUAUAGGACUAUAUAUAUAUGGGACAUAUAUAUAGUCCUAUAUAUAUGGGACAUAUAUAGGACUAUAUAUGGGACAUAUAUAUGGGACAUAUACAUAUAUGGGACAUAUAUAUAGGACUAUAUAUACAUAUGGGACAUAUAGAUAUAUGGGACACAC